AUCCACAGAGAAUCGGAGUCAAAGCAAACCAGCAAGAUUGGCUCUGACCUUACACACACCACGGCGAGCUAAUAAUCAAGAAGCUGUUGAGCGGCAGGCGCGUAGAAAAAAUAAAUUGAAAAGCAGGUCCCCAAGCUGAGAUCCAAAGCUCCAACUCCGCACAGCCCCAAAAAAAAUAUCGAACAAAAGCUUAAAAAAAGAGCAGACAGCAUUUUCGCAUUUUGAGGUUACGCCAACAAACGGCAAGCGAGUAAAUUGCACAGCACAAGAAUCAACCUCAACCCCAAAAACAGUGUAAAAGAAACAGCUGUUGACCAACUCAAAAUUCGCUUUUUUCGGUUUUUGCAUAAAGCCAAAACUAUAAAAAAAAGAUUGAGGCGGAAAACCAAUAACAAAGUGUACAUCGAAUUAUCUUAAAUGUUGUGCCUUGGCAAAUGUUUUGAAAACGCUCAAAAAACGCUGCCUGAUUGAAGUGUGUGUUGCUGCGCGAAAAGGUUUUCUUGAUUUCGAAUGGACUUGUCUAGCUGUGUUUGCAUGUAAUUAAAAACAUCGCGAGGCAACAACUACAACGAGUUUAAUGAGACAUAAGUGAGAAUAAUUAAUCAGUAUUCGUUAAUUGCUUAUCGUUACAAGGUUAAUCAAUAAUGACCAAUUUUCAACGAAAUGAGUGUGUAGUGUGCUCGAGAAAUAGCAUACGAUCGUUCAAAUUAGUUAUCGUUUCAUAGAAACUAAGUUAACUAAGUUUAUUAAACAUAAAUCAGCUGAAUUCUGAUAUAUAUAUAUAUGCAAUAUAAAUUCAUUAGCUUAAAAGCCAGAAGAAACCGAUUCAAGAUCACUGAACCCUAGCGUUUCUAAGGUGAGCCGUACUUAAUUUAAUUCAAACCAGUUUUCAGUGGAAAUUAGUCAUUGAACCUUAGAUCCGUUCUUGAUUAAAAACUGGCCCAAAGGUUAGAGUUUGCCAGCUCGUUUGAAAGGCGCAGCAAAAAUACACACAUUCGAAUGCUUUUAAACCGGACUGAUACCUUUAAUUCACCUGGGACAUGUUUAUGUAAUUUAUAGAGAAGUAAAACUGGCACGUGUCAGUAAAGGUUAUAUAAGAUGUAGGGUUAUUUUUACUCGGUAGUAGCACAUUCAUAACAAAUUCAUCGUAUUUUCAAUAUAAUUCAGCAUUUUUAAGGAGAGUUCUCUUAAGACGUUCUCUUAAUUACUUGACAACGGUUUUCUUCAGCUUUUAAGACGUUUUAUCUGUAGAUCUACAAAGAUGGUCUAGUUUUUCCAUCCAUCAUCCACCCUCAACCUCUUCAAUCAUUCGAUCUGGCCCCAUAUCACGUACAUACAUACAUAUGUUUGUAUGUAUGUAUGUAUGUAUAGUUGAGCAGACCCAACAAAGUGGGGAAAACAAAGUCAAAGAGGAAGGUGAAGUGAAACCGAGAAGAGAAGCAGAACCAAGAAAUAUUUUGUUGUGUGUACUCAACUUGAAGUGGCACUUCAACUUCGUGUACGGCGUUCAACUCUUCGCUUAGGUGUUUUUUAUAUUUUUUUUUUAUUUUUGUUUUCCGUAAGCAGGGGAGUUGAGUGUUGUUGGGGCGGCGAGGGGGGUUGCCUUCUUAUUUUUGGAACAAACAUAAACAACGGCGAGCAAGAAAAACCAGUUCCACGGGGCGAAGGCUAGAACAUGUUGCACGUCGUACCGCCAAGCAGGUUGCCUUUGCCUCCGACACAGCUCCACACACAGCCAAACUGCUCCACAGCUCCAUAGGCUGAUAGCGUCUCCCCCAUUCGCAUUUGGAGCAUUGAGUGCAGCAGCCCAUACAGAAAAUGCUAUUUCGGGGCACACUCUUCGGCGUAUAUGUAUACGUACGUACGUACAUAUGGCACUCGUCCUCAAUUUGGACGAAGUCCGAAAACUCACACCCCUCUGAAUGACAUAUUUUCCAGGGUCGAGCCCCGCGUCGUCAGUCAGGAAGUUCGAUGAGAACAACAAUAACCGAAAGCGAACAGGAAUAUCCAGAUCGUGAUGCACUGAGCAAAUAAGGGUGGGCUAAGCUUUGAGUAUCUGAACGAGAACAAGCUCAUAAAAGUGCUGGCAAUGCGACCUUAUAAACAUAACACUUCCAUAAAGAUUGGAAGCCAGCUUUUUGAGCCAUAUGAUCACUAGUGUUGAGGGUCGAGCCUUCCGAAUCGGAGUGAUUGAACGCUUUCAAGGAUAUUUGUCAACACAGCAGCCGGAAAGCAGAAGGAAGCCGAAAAACAAAGCCAGUGGAAUGGCUCUUUGUUCCUCCGGCGAUCAGCAUAAUAAUAACUUUAAUAAGCAAAGUGCGUUCGCUUGUGGGCGUUGCUGGGGGGCACGGAAAUAGCGGGAGCGAGCGAGAGAGAGAGCGGCAUAUGGGCGGAGAAAGAGACGGGGCGAAGUGCUGCGGCAGGUGACAAUCGCGGAAGUAAAACGCCGCCGCUGACGACGUGAUUUCAGCUGUUAAAAUUCGCCGUCGUUAUUAACGUGUUCAGCAGCAGCGGCAGCGGCAACGUGGCCCAAAUGCAAAAACAACACUCGCAUAAAAUGGUUAAAAAUACUUGCUACGCAUUUGGAGCACUCAUCAGCUGGGCAAAAGCAGCAAAAACAACACAAAUAUGUAUUGACAAACAAACGGCGAGUGUCUGAGCCGAUAAGAUAAGGCAGCAACCCAAAAGGAAAUGAAUCGAAAUAAGUGCGGGGAAAAUGUGAAAAGCAAAGAGAUGGGAAAACCAAGCAAAGGUUCCACUAGAUUAAUUCUAUAAUUAACAAAAACAUAAACAUAGAUUCGCUGAACAGAAUUUAUUAAUACGAUUAUUUAUAUGGGCACCUAAACUUUGGCCCCGGCAGAUGUUUUUGUGGAAACAAUUCACUGAUAAGAAGGUUCUCUUGGAAAAUGAAAUCUACAUAAUUUGGACAUAUUUUUUUUUACUCACUAACAAGAAUGGCAUGAUUUAAAUCGCCUUUCUCUGUGCAAGUUGAAGUGCACUAGUAAUAUUUAGAUCAUUAACAAAGACAGGAAAUAGCACUCAAAUAAAUUGCAAAAUCUUUGUAUAUAAUGCAAAUAUACUAGCAGUUAAUUUAUGCGACCUUCGACUAAUCCAAUUGUCGUGUCAACAAGAA